rnacentral:tRNA from 1 species
UCCUCUGUGGCGCAAUUGGCUAGCGCGUCUGACUGUUACGAAUUAGUUCAUCAGGAGGUUGACAGUUCAAGCCUGUCCGGAGGAG